AAACUUAACGGGGCCUGACAGCUGAGGACGUUGUAGUGGGAGAGGGAGAGCCCUUGUGGUCCUUCCGAUCCAGGGCCGAGCCGGCCUCCCUAUCAGCGACUCGCAGGGCGGACGUCGCGGCUGAAAACCAGCUAAAGCCGGAGAAGUUCGUGUGUGGGGAGAAGAAAGAGCGGGCCAGCUCCCGGCUUCUGUCUUCUUCCGGACCAGUGGCCACCGCAGGGCCUUGGCUUCGUCUGGCCUCACUUGAACUCUCUGGGCUGGCCCCGCCCCCUCCCGGCUCACCGUGGGCGGGGUCUGGGCCCGCGCUUCCUCCGCUUCCUGGGGGAAGAGCCCAGGGUGGGGAAUAAGGCAGAAAAGAGAUGUAAAGGAGAGCGAGCUGGCUGCUGUGAUGUGGUCCUGUCGCGGGCAAGGCUCCGGGAGUGAGUGAGCCUGCAGGACGCCGCUUCAGAAUUGAUAUGAAGUUGCUGUUUACUAACUCGGCUCUGCCCAGACCUUUUGGGAGAAAUGGCAGUUUUCACUGCAAAGCGUUCUCACAGCUAAAGUCCUGAGGGGUGUGCGGUGCGGGGCCCGUGCGGGCAGUGACUGAGCACAGAAGGCGUCCACACCCUCCCACGGCUGGGGUCCCCGCCUCCAGCCGGGUGGGGAGGUCGGGGGCUCGCGAGUGGUCACAUCACGUCUGCACCAAGGUCGCAUCACCGAGACUGUGCACGGGGAUCUGGACCCACCCACACACAUGCUCCUCCAUGGAUUGAAGAGGGAAGAUUCCCGGGAACAGGCCUCCACCUGCUUCCAAACACAUCUGUGGAGGGGAUGCUGGCUCCUGCCUUGUGAAGCUCAAGCUGGAGGACAAGAAACCCCUCCUCCUUCGCCUGCAUCCCCAGGCCUGACCUCAGAUGGAAUUGGUGACCAUGACCGUGCAUGGUGCUUGCAGGUGGGGGCCAGUGUCCUUGCUCUAAACGCAGGAUCUUCCCCUGCCUGUCGAGUGUGUAACCCUGAACUCAAAUGGGCUUUUUGGCUACAUUUGUCAAAUCAGCUCAAUCCAACACUGCCUUGAAAGGGUGCGUUUAAAAUAAGAAAUGAGUUGAAGAAUGCAAAAUAUAGCCCGCAAGACAGCAUCAUCCCACGUGCUUCUCCAUAUGUCUCCUGGGCUCCUCAGGCCCCUCCUUCUGGCCGCUGAGCCGCCUCCUGUAGACCCCCAAGCCCGCACCGCCCACUGUGGGGCAGCUGAGGGGACAGGUCCACAUGACAACAUCAGAGCCAUUAUGUCAGGGAUCUGAGUCCACCAAGGACACACUGGAGUCCCACGGGGCUUUGCUGAGGGCAGGUUCAGGUGAGAUCAGUGACUCUCUAUCGCAGCUGGGCCUCAGGGUCAUUGGAGGAGAUUUAUGUGUUUCUAUCCAGGCCUUAUCCUGGAAAAUUCUAAUCAGAAGAUAUGAGGUGUAAUUCACAAGACUGUUUAAAAAAAUCCAUAGGUGAUUAUGCUGCAUCCAGUGUGAAAACCACUGGACUAGAUCAUUGGAAAUGGUAUUGAAAUUAAGAUUGUGUGUCCAUCGAAGGUGGGUCAGGUUUGGAUUUGCCUCACUGAACUGAUUUAAAAACACAGGAUGUUGGGCUGUGUUUCUAGUUCUUCCUGGAAGAGGCGUGGGCUGUGUGGCACCUGAAGGCUUUUCAUGGUCCAGAAUGUCCCUUGUAUCACGUCAGCUUUACUUGUGUGAGGGCAGGACCCCGGCAGGUGAAAAAAAAAGAAAUCACUUGCUUCCGUAUGUGCCAUUUCAGCUAAAAUGUCACCUCAAGGGCACAGGAACCAAAGUCACUUCCGGGGCCCCCCUCCAGUUCCUGCUGUGAUGCCGAUCACAGCGGCCUGGGUGUCUUCCCCACCUGGCACGUCUAAUCCCCUGAUCUGAACACCCGGCUCUCUUGUGACCCAGCACAGACUCUCCAGGAGACUUCAAAGCUUCCAUCCCAGCCGGGUGGACCAGAAUCUUCCAUCCUGGUUAUCCGCCAUCCUACCCAUUGAGGUGGCUGUCACCGUGUGAGGACCACAAGACGCCUUCAGGAGGGAACAGCGAAGUGACCUAAAUCUCUGGCUGGAGGAGGCGCAUCCUAUGCUCGCUCUCCCAUAGCUGGUGCUGCAGAUGAGCCAGGGCGCCCUGUGUGUCCUGGUUUACGGAGCGGAAGGUACGGUCACCCACGAAACCGUCAGGGACCUCUCUGCACCCAGGGCAGGUUCUAAGGCAUGAAAGAUCAAUUCUGUGGAGACUCCUUGGCCCCAGAGCUGCUGGGGGAUCUGCCAGAGAGCCCAUGGUUUCCAUAGAAACUACGGAUGAGUUUAGCAUGAGUCCCCGUCCUGCCACUCAGGUCCUAGAAGAAAGAUCAGUAGGAGGGGGGCGAUCGCUGGGCUAGGGCUCCCUGCCCCCGGCUGUGAGCGGACCAAGCCUGUCGGGAUGAGGCCCACGGGGAGGAGACGGGCCCUUCUCCACCCCGAGAGGAGGCCCAAGUCUUGGAUCCGUUUGGAAGACCCAACGCUUGCACCUUUCGCUCCAAUGUAAGUCCGAGUUAGAAAUCGCCUUUAACCUAUAAAUCACUGCAAGUACUUUUGCAGAGGCAAAGUUGAGAACUUACCUAAAUAAACUAGAAUAAAGUGUGUAAACAGUGCAAUCAUUCCGCUUCUUCUGCCUGUUUUUCCCUUUGCUUCUGGAAUACUGAGCGUAAGUGUGGAC